UACGGAGGGGGCUAGCGUUGUUCGGAAUUACUGGGCGUAAAGCGCGCGUAGGCGGAUCUGCAAGUCGGGGGUGAAAGCCCGAGGCUCAACCUCGGAACUGCCUUCGAUACUGCGGGUCUCGAGUCCGGGAGAGGUGAGUGGAAUUCCUAGUGUAGAGGUGAAAUUCGUAGAUAUUAGGAAGAACACCAGUGGCGAAGGCGGCUCACUGGCCCGGUACUGACGCUGAGACGCGAAAGCGUGGGGAGCGAACCGG
rnacentral:rRNA from 1 species